AGCGGCGGACGGGUUAGUAACGCGUGGGAACGUACCCUUCUCUGCGGAAUAGCCACUGGAAACGGUGAGUAAUACCGCAUACGCCCUUCGGGGGAAAGAUUUAUCGGAGAAGGAUCGGCCCGCGUUAGAUUAGAUAGUUGGUGGGGUAAUGGCCUACCAAGUCUACGAUCUAUAGCUGGUUUUAGAGGAUGAUCAGCAACACUGGGACUGAGACACGGCCCAGACUCCUACGGGAGGCAGCAGUGGGGAAUCUUAGACAAUGGGCGCAAGCCUGAUCUAGCCAUGCCGCGUGUGUGAUGAAGGUCUUAGGAUCGUAAAGCACUUUCGCCAGGGAUGAUAAUGACAGUACCUGGUAAAGAAACCCCGGCUAACUCCGUGCCAGCAGCCGCGGUAAUACGGAGGGGGUUAGCGUUGUUCGGAAUUACUGGGCGUAAAGCGUACGUAGGCGGAUCAGAAAGUAAGGGGUGAAAUCCCAGGGCUCAACCCUGGAACUGCCUCUUAAACUCCUGGUCUUGAGUUCGAGAGAGGUGAGUGGAAUUCCAAGUGUAGAGGUGAAAUUCGUAGAUAUUUGGAGGAACACCAGUGGCGAAGCGGCUCACUGGCUCGAUACUGACGCUGAGGUACGAAGUGUGGGGAGCAACAGGAUUAGAUACCCUGUUAGUCCACACGGA
rnacentral:rRNA from 1 species